UACGAAGGGGGCUAGCGUUGCUCGGAAUCACUGGGCGUAAAGCGCACGUAGGCGGCUUUUUAAGUCGGUGGUGAAAUCCUGGAGCUCAACUCCAGAACUGCCUCCGAUACUGAAAGGCUUGAGUCCGGGAGAGGUGAGUGGAACUGCGAGUGUAGAGGUGAAAUUCGUAGAUAUUCGCAAGAACACCAGUGGCGAAGGCGGCUCACUGGCCCGGUACUGACGCUGAGGUGCGAAAGCGUGGGGAGCAAACAGG
rnacentral:rRNA from 1 species